rnacentral:rRNA from 1 species
AUGGCAAGUGGUAGUUCUUCGGAAGAAGGAGCACGCCAGAACUCCGCCGACAAGGACAAGCUGAUCACCGUUCUGAGCAUCGAUGGCGGCGGCGUCAGAGGGAUCAUUCCAGCUACCAUCCUUGCCUUCCUUGGAGAGGAAUUCAAGAAACUGGAUGGGCCAGAAGCUAGGAUCGCAGACUACUUUGACGUCGUCGCCGGCACGAGCACCGGCGGCCUCUUGACGGUGAUGCUCACGGCGCCAGAUAAGAACGGGCGGCCCUUGUUCGAUGCCAAGGAGCUGGCUCAGUUCUACAUCGAUGAGUCACCGAAGAUCUUCCCACAGAAUUGCAGGAACUCAUUCUUCGGCAAGAUUGGCACAGCUCUGAGGAUGGUGCGCGGGCCCAAAUACAACGGCAAGUACCUCCAUGCGCUGCUUCGUCGGUACCUCGGCGAGACGAAGCUGGAUGGGACGCUGACCAAUGUGGUCAUCCCGACCUUCGAUAUCGCAUACCUGCAACCCACGAUUUUCUCAAGCUUUCAGUUGAAGCACUCGCCUGCGAAAAACGCACUCCUGUCGGACAUCGCGAUCAGCACCUCCGCCGCACCGACGUUCUUCCCGGCACACUACUUCGAGACCAAGGACGACAAAGGCGAGCCGAGGGCCUUCAACCUCGUCGACGGCGGCCUCGCCGCCAACAACCCUACGCUAUGCGCGAUGAGCCAAGUGUCCCAGGACAUCAUCGUGGGGGACGGUGAGUUCUUCGUGGAGAACCCGGUGGACUACGGCAAGUUCAUGGUCGUCUCCAUCGGCUGCGGGCUGAACCCGAAAGAGAGCUACAGCGCCAAGGACGCCGCCAAGUGGGGAAUCCUGAACUGGAUCGUCAAGGACGGCACCGCCCCCAUCGUCGACAUGUUCAACGCCGCCAGCGCCGACAUGGUGGACAUCCACCUCUCCGUCCUCUUCGGCGCCCUGCGCUCCUCCCACCGCUACCUGCGCAUCCAGUACGAUCAGCUGAGCGGGAGUGCGGGCUCCAUCGACGACUGCUCGAAGGAGAACAUGGACAGGCUGGUGCAGAUCGGGCACGAGCUCCUCAGGAAGAACGUGUCCCGGGUGGACCUGGAGACCGGCCGCAACGUGGAGAUGCCUGGCCAGGGCACCAACGCGGAGCAGCUCGCCAGGUUCGCAAAGCAGCUCUCCGACGAGCGCCGCCGCCGCAAAAAGGCGCUUCAGGUUAACUAG